CUGCAGCUCAAGUGGUGGCCGCUAUUAUUGGGCCUAAAACGUCCGUAGCCGGUUUAGUAAAUGCCUGGGUAAAUCGUGUAGCUUAACUAUACGACUUCCGGGUAGACUGCUAAACUUGAGACCGGGAGAGGCUAGAGGUACUCCUGGGGUAGAGGUGAAAUUCUGUAAUCCUAGGGGGACCACCAGUGGCGAAGGCGUCUAGCUAGAACGGGUCUGACGGUGAGGAACGAAGCCCUGGGGCGCAAACCGGAUUAGAUACCCGAGUAGUCC
rnacentral:rRNA from 1 species